AUUUUAAAAAUUAACUGCCUUGAACUUUUAUAAAAAAUUUUACUUGACUUAAAGAGACUUAGUAAAGCUCCUAGCAGACUCCUAGACUGCACUUCCCCGAGGGCUGAAUAUUCCCUAUUCCCAGUGAGCAAUUGGAUAUCAAAGGCAAUUUGCCACAUUCUGGGGAUUUGGUGUUAAAUAUUCAAUUCCGUCUGCAGCGGACGUCUGCGUUUGCAUCGCGUUUCCGUCUUAGUUUCAUUUCGUUUCCCAUUGCAAUGGCAUCAUGAUGAUGGUGAUGCUGAAUGCUGGAUGCUGGAUGCUGGCAACUGGAGAUCCGAGAACCUACAGGAGGAGCAAAAGGACUGCCAAGUGGUCCAGUCUGUGGCCAUUCUCUAACAAACAAACAACAAAACGAGCACAAAGAAUAAACUUUUGAAUGGACAGAAGGGAGAUUUUAGGAGAGUUGCGAAAGUGCACAGUCACUUAAAAAAAAGUUUUAAGUUUUUUUUGGUAAAAACUAUUCUGGUUUGCUAUUUUUUUUUAAUUUUAAAAAUCUGUUGUUUAUUUUAUGUACACCUUUAGACUUCAAUAUCAUGUGCACCUAAUUCUGAAUAUCCGCAUAUUCCGAUUUAAUACAGUAAAUAUAUCAUAAUUUGUUAAACGA